UUUUUGUGUUCCUUUUUUUUUUGAGCAGUAUAUAUAAACAUACAGCUCGCAGAACCUGCAGUUCUCUUGUCUGCUGCCUUUACAAGACCUCCCAUUCUAACUCCGCCCAGACUUUCUGUGCUUCCAAUCAACCAGUGCAGCACAAUAAGAAAUCUUUGCAAUGCAGGUGCUCUGGCAAUAGCUGCCUCUUCUGUUUAGCUGAGAUUACCAAACCAGGAAGUAACAGGUUUGGUUGCCUGAUUGAAAAGCUGGGGGGUUGUAACCUGUAUAAUUUAUAAAAGUGUCAAUAUCUAUUGAAAUCUGCACUUUUUCCAAAAUGAAAAAGCAGGACACACUCUUCACAC